GUGCUCACUUCAGCAGCACAUAUACUAAAACUGGAAUGAUACAGAAAAAAUUAGCAUGGCCCCUGCACAAGGGUGACACACAAAUUUGUGAAGCGUUCCAUAUUUUG
rnacentral:snRNA from 1 species